rnacentral:rRNA from 1 species
GCUAGUAAUCACAGGUCAGCAUACUGUGGUGAAUACGUUCCCGGCCUUGUACACACCGCCGUCACACAUGAGAGUUGAGAAUACCCGAAGCCCAUGUCAAAGUGGUCGAAGGUAGGCUUGAUGAUUGGGGUGAAGUCGUAACAAGGUAUC